rnacentral:rRNA from 1 species
AUUGAACGCUGGCGGCAUGCCUUACACAUGCAAGUCGAACGGCAGCACGGGUGCUUGCACCUGGUGGCGAGUGGCGAACGGGUGAGUAAUACAUCGGAACGUACCUUAUCGUGGGGGAUAACGCAGCGAAAGUUGCGCUAAUACCGCAUACGCCCUGAGGGGGAAAGCGGGGGACCGUAAGGCCUCGCGCGAUUAGAGCGGCCGAUGUCUGAUUAGCUUGUUGGUGAGGGAAAAGCUCACCAAGGCGAUGAUCAGUAGCUGGUCUGAGAGGACGAUCAGCCACACUGGGACUGAGACACGGCCCAGACGCCUACGGGAGGCAGCAGUGGGGAAUUUUGGACAAUGGGGGCAACCCUGAUCCAGCAAUGCCGCGUGAGUGAAGAAGGCCUUCGGGUUGUAAAGCUCUUUUGUCAGGGAAGAAACAGCAGCUCUAACACAGUCUGCGAAUGACGGUACCUGAAGAAUAAGCACCGGCUAACUACGUGCCAGCAGCCGCAGUAA